rnacentral:rRNA from 1 species
AGGACGAACGCUGGCGGCGUGCUUAACACAUGCAAGUCGAGCGACAGACUCCUUCGGGGGUUAUGGAGCGGCGAACGGGUGAGUAACACGUGGGUAACCUGCCCUUGGCUUUGGGAUAACUCCGGGAAACCGGGGCUAAUACCGAAUAUUCGCACUUGAAGGCAUCUUUGGGUGUGGAAAGUUUUUCGGCUGAGGAUGGGCCCGCGGCCUAUCAGCUUGUUGGUGGGGUGAUGGCCUACCAAGGCGGUGACGGGUA